GGGUGCGCCAGCUCUAUCGACUCCUUAAGCCAGAUUGGUGCAGGCCUCUCAUCCGACGGGCCCGGGAUCCGAUUAUCCGGUUGAUCCUGGCGGAGGUCACUGCUAUCGGGGUUCGAUUAAGCCAUGCGAGUCGAGAGGGUUCAGACCCUCGGCGGACUGCUCAGUAACACGUGGAUAAUCUGCCCUAUGGUGGAGGAUAACCCCGGGAAACUUUUUUUUUAUACUCCAUAAGUCAGGAGUACUGGAAUGUCUCCUAACUGAAAGUUGCGGCGCCAUAGGAUGUUUUUCCUAGCCGAUUAGGUAGUUGUUGGGGUAACGGCCCAACUAUCCCGUAAUCGGUACGGGUUGUGGGCGCCACGAGCCCGGAGAUGGAAUCUGAGACACGAUUCCAGGCCCUACGGGGCGCAGCAGGCGCGAAAACUUUACAAUGCAGGAAACUGUGAUAAGGGAACCCCGAGUGCCCGUAAACGCGGGCUGUCCCGGUGUUUAAAACACAUCGGAAGAAAGGGCCGGGCAAGACCGGUGCCAGCCGCCGCGGUAAUACCGGCGGCUCGAGUGGUGACCACUUUUUAUUGGGCUUAAAGCGUUCGUAGCUUGAUUUUAGUCCUCUGGAAAUCUCACGGCUUACUGUGAGCGUCUAGAAUACUGGGAUCUAGGGACGGGAAAGUAAAGGUACUCAGGUUAAUGGAUCUGUAUCUGAGACCCGAUGCGAGAUCUACACACGUUCUCAUGUGGAACACAUG
rnacentral:rRNA from 1 species